AUUGAACGCUGGCGGCAGGCCUAACACAUGCAAGUCGAGCGGGGUUUUCGGACCUAGCGGCGGACGGGUGAGUAAUGCGUAGGAAGCUACCCGAUAGAGGGGGAUACCAGUUGGAAACGACUGUUAAUACCGCAUAAUGUCUACGGACCAAAGUGUGGGACCUUCGGGCCACAUGCUAUCGGAUGCGCCUACGUGGGAUUAGCUAGUUGGUGGGGUAAUGGCUCACCAAGGCGACGAUCCCUAGCUGGUUUGAGAGGAUGAUCAGCCACACUGGAACUGAGACACGGUCCAGACUCCUACGGGAGGCAGCAGUGGGGAAUAUUGGACAAUGGGCGCAAGCCUGAUCCAGCCAUGCCGCGUGUGUGAAGAAGGCCUUCGGGUUGUAAAGCACUUUCAGUAGGGAGGAAGGGUUAAGUGUUAAUAGUACCUAACUUUGACGUUACCUACAGAAGAAGCACCGGCUAACUCUGUGCCAGCAGUCGCAGUAAUAC
rnacentral:rRNA from 1 species